rnacentral:rRNA from 1 species
AACCUGGUUGAUCCUGCCAGUAGUCAUAUGCUUGUCUCAAAGAUUAAGCCAUGCAUGUCUAAGUAUAAGCACUUGUACUGUGAAACUGCGAAUGGCUCAUUAAAUCAGUUAUCGUUUAUUUGAUUGUACCUUACUACAUGGAUAACCGUGGUAAUUCUAGAGCUAAUACAUGCGAAAAGUCCCGACUUCUGGAAGGGAUGUAUUUAUUAGACUAAAAACCAAUACGGGUGCUUCGGUGCCCGUUCAUGUGGUGAUUCAUGAUAACUUCUCGAAUCGCAUGGCCUUGUGCCGGCGAUGUUUCAUUCAAAUUUCUGCCCUAUCAACUGUCGAUGGUAAGGUAGUGAUAAAGUAGAUAAAGUAGUCGCUACUACCGAUUGAAUGGUCUAGCGAGACCUUCGGAUUGGCACUGCUCCGGCCGGCAACGGCUGAGGUGGAACGCCGAGAAGUCGUUCAAGUUCGAUCAUUUAGAGGAAGUAAAAGUCGUAACAAGGUUUACCGUAGGUGAACCUGCAGAAGGAUC